GUCUACAGCCAUACCAUACUGAAUACGGGAUCACGUCUGAUCUCAGAAGUUAAGCCGGGUCAGGCCUGGUUAGUAUUUGGAUGGAAGAUCAACUGGCAUUGAGCUGGGCACCCAGUCU
ensembl:rRNA 5S_rRNA 5S ribosomal RNA